AACGAACGCUGGCGGCGUGCCUAACACAUGCAAGUCGUGCGAGAAAGGGCUUCGGCCCCGGUAAAGCGGCGCACGGGUGAGUAACACGUGGAUAACCUACCCCUUGGUGGUGGAUAACCUUCCGAAAGGAGGGCUAAUACAGCGUAAGACCACGACUUCGAAAGAGGUUGAGGUAAAAGUGGGCCUCUGUACACAAGCUCACGCCAGGGGAUGGGUCCGCGGCCCAUCAGCUAGUUGGUAGGUAACGGCCUACCAAGGCGAAGACGGGUAGCUGGUCUGAGAGGAUGGA
rnacentral:rRNA from 1 species